GACGAACGCUGGCGGCGUGCCUAAUACAUGCAAGUUGAGCGCUGAAGGUUGGUACUUGUACCGACUGGAUGAGCAGCGAACGGGUGAGUAACGCGUGGGGAAUCUGCCUUUGAGCGGGGGACAACAUUUGGAAACGAAUGCUAAUACCGCAUAAAAACUUUAAACACAAGUUUUAAGUUUGAAAGAUGCAAUUGCAUCACUCAAAGAUGAUCCCGCGUUGUAUUAGCUAGUUGGUGAGGUAAAGGCUCACCAAGGCGAUGAUACAUAGCCGACCUGAGAGGGUGAUCGGCCACAUUGGGACUGGGACACGGCCCAAACUCCUACGGGAGGCAGCAGUAGGGAAUCUUCGGCAAUGGACGAAAGUCUGACCGAGCAACGCCGCGUGAGUGAAGAAGGUGUUCGGAUCGUAAAACUCUGUUGGUAGAGAAGAACGUUGGUGAGAGUGGAAAGCUCAUCAAGUGACGGUAACUACCCAGAAAGGGACGGCUAACUACGU
rnacentral:rRNA from 1 species